UACGAAGGGGCUAGCGUUGCUCGGAAUCACUGGGCGUAAAGGGCUCGUAGGUGGCCAACUAAGUCAGACGUGAAAUCCCUCAGCUUAACUGGGGAACUGCGUCUGAUACUGGAUGGCUUGAGUUUGGGAGAGGGAUGCGGAAUUCCGAGGUGUAGCGGUGAAAUGCGUAGAUAUCUGGAGGAAUACCGGUGGCGAAGGCGGCAUCCUGGACCGACAUUGACGCUGAAACCGAAAGCUAGGGGAGCAAACGGG
rnacentral:rRNA from 1 species